UACGUAGGGUGCAAGCGUUGUCCGGAAUUACUGGGCUUAAAGAGUCCGUAGGCGGCGCAGAAAGUAGGGUGUGAAAGCCCUCGGCUUAACCGAGGAAUUGCGCUCUAAACUACUGUGCUUGAGGAACCUAGAGGUGAGCGGAACUGAUGGUGGAGCGGUGAAAUGCGUUGAUAUCAUCAGGAACACCGGAGGCGAAGGCGGCUCACUGGGGGUUAUCUGACGCUGAGGGACGAAAGCCAGGGGAGCGAACGGG
rnacentral:rRNA from 1 species